AAUGUAUGCAAGAUUUUCAAGAGAUACUGAAGCGAGAAGUCAACAUCCAGUGGGGAUGUGGAAGCUUUUCAUACCACAAAAUAACCCAAAGUCCAGAGUAGAUAUAAUGAACAUUAAGUCGUAUAUGGAUUCGCUGGCUUGAAAUAUGGAUUCUUCCUCUAAUUUCUACCCGAACUUGCAUCUACAUAGCAUUCUCUUGGAAGAUCCUUUUCCGAGAUUUUCUGAUAUUUGUGGAAUUGAUCUUGGUGAAGCUGCACGUGAGUUAGCUAGCUGCAGGAGGCACCUGAACUCGAAGCUAUGAUCAGAUCCAAUCGGCCUAUUCGACCAAACCUCAGAACUUAGAAUGGCUGGCCUUCAUCA
rnacentral:misc_RNA from 1 species